UUGCCCCAAUAAAAGGGGUAAAGGUCAGCCAGUGAGACGAUGGGGGAUACGCUUCAUCGUCGAGAGGGAAACAGUCCAGAUCAUCAGCUAAUGCCCCUAAAUGAACGCUCAGUGAUGAAAGAAGUAUGAGUGCAAAGACAGCCAAGAGGUUUUCCUAGAAGCAACCGACCUUGAAAGAGUGCGUAAUAUCUCACUGAUCGAGUGCUCUUGCGCCAAAGAUGAAUGGGACUAAGCGAUCUGUCAAAGCUGUGGGAUGUAAAAAUACUUCCGUAGGGGAGUGUUCUUCCUCAGAGGGAAGCACCGACGUGAGCAGGUGUGGACAAAGAAGAAGUG
rnacentral:ncRNA from 1 species